GCGGGUGUAAUUCAGUGGUAGAAUAUCUGCUUCCCAUGCAGAGUGUCGUGGGUUCGAGUCCCAUCACCCGCU
rnacentral:tRNA from 1 species